UAGUCUGCUGUUAAUUUUAAUUAUCUUAAAAUGUUUUUAAAUUUACUCCAUUUUAACUGUUUUUAUUGAUCAUUUCUAUAUUUCUUGUAAACUGCUUAAGGCUUUUACAGUGGUACCUUAGAUGCGAACGGGAUCCGUUUCAGAGCCCCGUUUGCAUCUAGAAGCAAACGUAACCAGCGAUGGCACGUCUGUGCACAUGCGCGUCACUUUUCGCCGCUUCUGCACAUGACAUCAUUUUGAGCGCAUGCGCAAGCGGUGAAACCCGGAAGUAACGCACUCCAUUACUUCCGGGUUGCCGCGGAGCGCAACUCGAAUGUGCUCAUCCCGAAGCACAUUCAACCCGAGGUAUGACUGUAUUACAAUGACGUGGUAUAUAAAUUUUGUUAGAUGGGGGGGAAAUGGAAUUAAAGGGACAGAAGGAAAUGGUUUCUUUUCUGUGAUGCUAUAAAAUCCUGAAGUAUCAUUAUGUUGAAUGCUGCAGGGCAGAGGCACAGGAAGAAAUGAUGAUUUUGGCUACUUCUCCGUGUGACUUGGCCUCAGACAGCCUGUCUGGGUGUCAACUUUAAUCAUUGGUUCAAAUGAGUUCAUGGGGGAGGGAUUGGAGAUUGCGCUGCCAAGGCUAUUUAUAAUUAUGUUAUUGGACCUGUAAUUAGCUGUGUUACCUAACAGUGAAAUCAAGGUGAAAUGACAUAGGCCUAAAGAUCAGCUGCUGACAUUUUCAUUCACCGCUGAACACUUUCUCUGGAUCUACUAGGGAAGGAGAACAGGGAAAGUGCAUAUACAAUUUACAUUUUUUUUCACAAAGACACCAAAGUGCAAAGCUGGACAGGUUUUUGAAAAGAUCACCCAACCCAUUCUUCCGUCCACUAUUCCUGACUGCACUGCUGGAAAGUCUGUUCUGUUAAAAUUUCCAAAUGCUCUUUUAUAAUAAUAAUUUUCUCUCCCCAAGAAGUCAUUGAUGUAUACAUCUCAGGAUUCUUUGCCGGGGGGCGGGGAGUGGUCAUAACAGUUGCAACUGGCAUAAAACUGAUAGCACUUUACAGUGGUACCUCGGGUUAAGAACUUAAUUCGUUCUGGAGGUCUGUUCUUAACCUGAGGUACCACUUUAGCUAAUGGGGUCUCCCGCUGCGCCGCCACGCAAUUUCUGUUCUCAUCCGGAAGCAAAGUUCUUAACCCGAGGUACUAUUUCUGGGUUACACUUCUGUAACCUGAAGUGUCUGUAACCUGAGGUACCACUGUAUAGUUGUCGUUGAACCUUACACACCCUCCAAUAUUUAUCAGAUGAAAAUAGGAAUGUCUUAUUUAAUAUUUAUAAAUAUAAUUAUAUCCCUCCCCUCUGAAGGCAGCCCUGUUUAGGGAAGCUUUUAAUGUUUAACAGACUAUUGUAUUUUAAUAUUUUGUUGGAAGCCGCCCAGAUGGGCAGGGUAUAAAUAAUUAAUGAUGAUGAUGAUGACGACGAUGAUGACGAUGACUGGGUUGUGCCAGCCACACUGGGUGGCUUCCAGCACAUAUAAAAACAUAAUAAAACAUUAAACAUAAAAAAAAACCUUCCCUAUACAGGGCUGCAAGUGUCUUCUAAACCACCUCCUUGGUUCAGGGGUUACAUAACUCCAUACCCUCCAUCUUUUCUUUGAUGAAAAUAGGGAUGUCCUACCACACCCUCCAACAUUUAUCUGAUGAAAAUAGGGAUGUCCUAAGGAAAAGUGAGACAUCUGGGAUCAAAUCAGAAAUUGGGACAGCUUCUGUAAAUCUGGGACUGUUCCUGGAAAAUAGGGACACUUAGAGGGUCUGACCUUAGCAGUGUAAUCCCAACCGUUUCUAGUCAGAAGCAAUUCCUAUUGAAUUCAGUGGAGCUAAUUCCCAGGUAAAUUGGGUUAGGAUUGCAUCUUUACUCUUGGUCCAGCCUGCUGCUAGUGGAAGAAAAUGUGAGGAUACUAACACUACAGCAGCUCAAUGUCUCUAAGCAUCAAGUCACACGGAGAAGUAGCCAAAAUCAUCAUUCCUUCCUGUGCCUCUGUUUAGCCUGGAGAAGAGGAGGUUAAGGGGUGAUAUGAUAGCCAUGUUCAAAUAUAUCAAAGGAUGUCACAUAGAGGAGGGAGAAAGGUUGUUUUCUGCUGCUCCAGAGAAGCGGACACGGAGCAAUGGAUCCAAACUACAAGAAAGAAGAUUCCACCUAAACAUUAGGAAGAACUUCCUGACAGUAAGAGCUGUUCGACAGUGGAAUUUGCUGCCAAGGAGUGUGGUGGAGUCUCCUUCUUUGGAGGUCUUUAAGCAGAGGCUUGACAACCAUAUGUCAGGAGUGCUCUGAUGGUGUUUCCUGCUUGGCAGGGGGUUGGACUCGAUGGCCCUUGUGGUCUCUUCCAACUCUAUGAUUCUAUGAUUCUAUGAUUCAGAGCAGGGACAAUGCCUUCUGGAGAAGAGAAAGGCGGUAUCUUGUAGUAUCCUUAUCUAUAUUGGUUUAUUUGCAAACUAGCAUGUUCACAGCCCGGAGGCAAUUUGUGUGUUGCCUAGCAUUGGCUCUCAUACAUCAAUGUUACACUGAGGCUGGAUAAACAAAAGGCUCAUUGGCAAGCUUGCUUGUUCUGAUAUCACAGAAGAGCUUGGUACCUUAGGGGCAAGCACCUGAGUGCUGUACAAGGAAGGCUUAAACUUCUAAAGGCAAUGCACAACAUCUGUCAAACUGAUUGUUAUGUACUGAGUUGAAUAGGAUUCAGAAUGCAGCAGUCUGAUUGGUCCUAGAACAAUAGGGUCCAGAAUGCAGCAGUCUGAUUGGUCCUAGAACAAUAGGGUCCAGAAUGCAGCAGUCUGAUUGGUCCUAGAACAAUGCAGUAGUAUGAUUGGUCCGCAGGAGCCACCCAAUCCAGCUCCAGGUGGAAGUGAAUCCGCAACCUGAUUGGCCUACAGGAGAAUCCCGGAAUUAGCCAAUCACGUGGGGCCCAUUGUGUAAAUAAUGUAUAUAAAGCAGAUAUUUUAGGGGAACUUUCAUUCCUCACUACUAUGAGCUGAAUAAAGAGCAUGAAAGCCACACUCGACUCUGAGUAUAUUUCACUGAUUAAUUCAUCAAAUCUGAAUGGAGC
rnacentral:lncRNA from 1 species